rnacentral:misc_RNA from 1 species
CCUUUCUACGGAGAAUUUAAGCCACGGUUUGUGGCGAACAGGUCAUCAGCGCGGCAGGUUGUCGUGUGUGGUGGCGUACUGGUGUGGAUCGGUUAAUCAGACUUUUGCGGUACGGAUACGCUUUUGGGCUCCCGGAUUGCCACUCGGCGAUUCGACGCCCUGUCGUUGAUGCCUUCCCUUCGUGGUUGGUUGACGCGCCUGGUGCGGUGGCGGCUUGAGAACUGGAUAGUGGACGCGAGCAAGCAGUUUUACUGCUUGCUUCAAUUUCAGACCGAACUCUCUGAUGAGAGUUUGUGUCGAUCGUUUAUGAUCAAUUAGUGUGAUGAUUUGUUGUCUAGGAAUUUGCUAGUAAAGGCUUGCGGCAGGACAUAUUGUUUGUUGGUAUG